AGAAUCAACGCUGGCGGCGUGCCUAACACAUGCAAGUCGAACGAGAAAGUGGAGCAAUCCAUGAGUAAAGUGGCGACCGGGUGAGUAACACGUGACUAACCUACCUUCGAGUGGGGGAUAACCUCGGGAAACCGAGGCUAAUACCGCAUAACAUCGCAAGAUCAAAGCAGCAAUGCGCUUGAAGGAGGGGGUCGCGGCUGAUUAGCUAGUUGGCGGGGUAACGGCCCACCGAAGGCGAAGAUCGGUA
rnacentral:rRNA from 1 species